AAUCAACGCUGGCGGCGUGCCUAACACAUGCCAGUCGAACGCGAAAGGGGAGCAAUCCCUGAGUAGAGUGGCAAACGGGUGAGUAACACGUGGGUGACCUGCCUUCGAGUGGGGGAUAACGUUCCGAAAGGAACGCUAAUACCGCAUGACAUCCUGCUUUUGGAGAAGCGGAGAUCAAAGCUGGGGAUUCCCAAGAACCUAGCGCUUGAAGAGGGGCCCGCGCCUGAUUAGCUAGUUGGUGGGGUAACGGCUCACCAAGGCUUCGAUCAGUAUCCGGCCUGAGAGGGCGGACGGACACACUGGGACUGAGACACGGCCCAGACUCCUACGGGAGGCAGCAGUGGGGAAUUGUUCGCAA
rnacentral:rRNA from 1 species